rnacentral:tRNA from 1 species
UUUACUUUAGUGUAAGGAGCACAUAAAAUUUUGAUUUUUAUAGAAGAAAACUAAGUAAUU